AGUAAUGGUCGACAAUAAAAG
rnacentral:piRNA from 1 species